CCUACGGGCGGCAGCAGUGGGGAAUAUUGGACAAUGGGGGCAACCCUGAUCCAGCCAUGCCGCAUGUGUGAAGAAGGCCCUCGGGUUGUAAAGCACUUUCAGUGAGGAAGAACGCCUGGUGGUUAAUACCCAUCAGGAAAGACAUCACUCACAGAAGAAGCACCGGCUAACUCCGUGCCAGCAGCCGCGGUAAUACGGAGGGUGCGAGCGUUAAUCGGAAUUACUGGGCGUAAAGCGCGCGUAGGUGGCUUGAUAAGCCGGUUGUGAAAGCCCCGGGCUCAACCUGGGAACGGCAUCCGGAACUGUCAAGCUAGAGUGCAGGAGAGGAAGGUAGAAUUCCCGGUGUAGCGGUGAAAUGCGUAGAGAUCGGGAGGAAUACCAGUGGCGAAGGCGGCCUUCUGGACUGACACUGACACUGAGGUGCGAAAGCGUGGGUAGCAAACAGGAUUAGAUACCCCUGUAGUC
rnacentral:rRNA from 1 species